rnacentral:rRNA from 1 species
GACGAACGCUGGCGGCGUGCCUAAUACAUGCAAGUUGAGCGCUGAAGGUUGGUACUUGUACCAACUGGAUGAGCAGCGAACGGGUGAGUAACGCGUGGGGAAUCUGCCUUUGAGCGGGGGACAACAUUUGGAAACGAAUGCUAAUACCGCAUAAAAACUUUAAACACAAGUUUUAAGUUUGAAAGAUGCAAUUGCAUCACUCAAAGAUGAUCCCGCGUUGUAUUAGCUAGUUGGUGAGGUAAAGGCUCACCAAGGCGAUGAUACGUAGCCGACCUGAGAGGGCGAUCGGCCACAUUGGGACUGAGACACGGCCCAAACUCCUACGGGAGGCAGCAGUAGGGAAUCUUCGGCAAUGGACGAAAGUCUGACCGAGCAACGCCGCGUGAGUGAAGAAGGUUUUCGGAUCGUAAAACUCUGUUGGUAGAGAAGAACGUUGGUGAGAGUGGAAAGCUCAUCAAGUGACGGUAACUACCCAGAAAGGGACGGCUAACUACGUG